ACGGAAGGCAGCAGUGGGGAAUAUUGCACAAUGGGGGAAACCCUGAUGCAGCAACGCCACGUGUGGGAAGAAGCAUUUCGGUGUGUAAACCACUGUCGUGAGGGAAUAAUGCUUGGCCUCGGCCAAGUUGAAUGUACCUCGAAAGGAAGCACCGGCAAACUUCGUGCCAGCAGCCGCGGUAAUACGAGGGGUGCAAGCGUUGUUCGGAAUCACUGGGCGUAAAGGGAGCGCAGGCGGAGAUGCAAGCAGUCAGUACAAUACCGGGGCCCAACCCCGGACCUGCAGACUGGACUGUUUCUCUUGGAUAGUUCAGGGGCAAGCGGAAUUCCUGGUGUAGCAGUGGAAUGCGUAGAGAUCAGGAAGAACACCGAUGACGAAGGCAGCUUGCUGGGGACUUAUCGACGCUCAUGCUCGAAAGUGCGGGUAGCAAACAGGAUUAGAU
rnacentral:rRNA from 1 species